UACGAAGGGUGCAAGCGUUACUCGGAAUUACUGGGCGUAAAGCGUGCGUAGGUGGUGAGUUAAGUCUGAUGUGAAAUCCCCGGGCUCAACCCUCGAAUGCCGGUGGAUACUGUCGGGCUAGAGUGCGGAAGAGGCGAGUGGAAUUCCUGGUGUAGCGGUGAAAUGCGCAGAUAUCAGGAGGAACACCGAUUGCGAAGGCAGCUCGCUGGGACGUUACUGACGCUGAGACGCGAAAGCGUGGGGAGCAAACAGG
rnacentral:rRNA from 1 species